CCUCAACCUCCUGGGCUCAAGUGAUCCUCCCAAGAAGGUAGGACUACAGAUGAGCGCCACCAUGCCAUUUUUGUUUUUGUUAUUUUUAUCAAGAUGGGGUCUUUUGCUGUGUUGCCCAGGCUGGUCUCAAACUCCUGGGCUCAAGCAGCCUUCCCAUGUUGGCCUCCCAAACUGCUAGGAUUACAGGCAUGAGCCACCGUGCCCAUCCUGUUUGUUGUAUUAAAUGAGAGAGAAGCAACAAUAGAGAGCAUUCAGGGGAACUUACCUACACCCCUUACCUAUCCUGACAUCACUCUCUCCAGGUCUGAUCCCUUGAAAUACCAUCAUUUGUCCCCUCAGAAACCUUGGGCAUGAAGGAGUCCUCCUGAGCCCUGGGCCCACUGUACCAAAGUCUUCUCUCCAGAGAGGGUCAGGAGCCUGUCUUUUAACCACCUCCAUGGCAGGACUUAGCCAGACUGCCUUGGGAACUGCUGUCAUUCUCCUCACUCACCACCUCUUCCCACCCAACCACUCCAUCAAAGCUGUGUUUGCAGAGGACUGACCCUCAGUGAAGUCUGGACACUCCCCCACAAAAAAUAAGAGGCUCCAAAACUGACAAGCACCUAGCUAAGUACCUUUGUGCCUUGAAGCAUGGCAAACAAUCCUCCACUGCCCUAAGAGAACCCACUGAGAAUCCUGUGGAGCCUCUGGGGAAGCUGGGGUUUAUGGGGCCCUGGUAAAUCUGCUACAGAAUGCCCCCCAUGGAAUAUAAUGAAGUGGACAUGAUUUUUGGGCUUCUCCCACAACAUUUUUUUUUUUUGAGACACAGUCUCAUUCUGUUGUCCAGGCUGGAGUGCAGUGGUGAGGUGUUGGCUCACAGCAACCUCCCCCUCCCAGGUUCAAGU
rnacentral:lncRNA from 1 species